rnacentral:rRNA from 1 species
ACCUCCUUAGAGUUUGAUCCUGGCUCAGAUUGAACGCUGGCGGCAGGCCUAACACAUGCAAGUCGAACGGUAACAGGAUUAGCUUGCAAAUCGCUGACGAGUGGCGGACGGGUGAGUAAUGCUUGGGAACUUGCCUUUGCGAGGGGGAUAACAGUUGGAAACGACUGCUAAUACCGCAUAAUGUCUUCGGACCAAACGGGGCUUCGGCUCCGGCGCAAAGAGAGGCCCAAGUGAGAUUAGCUAGUUGGUAAGGUAAAGGCUUACCAAGGCGACGAUCUCUAGCUGUUCUGAGAGGAAGAUCAGCCACACUGGGACUGAGACACGGCCCAGACUCCUACGGGAGGCAGCAGUGGGGAAUAUUGCACAAUGGGGGAAACCCUGAUGCAGCCAUGCCGCGUGUGUGAAGAAGGCCUUCGGGUUGUAAAGCACUUUCAGUUGUGAGGAAAAGUUAGUAGUUAAUACCUGCCAGCCG